rnacentral:lncRNA from 1 species
CCGGUCUAUCACCAGCUUCUCAGAUAGGCAAGUCAUUCUUCUUGCAUAGAGAAACCUGGAGGCAUCAGAGGUCGGGUGGUGCUCAGGUUACAGUACUUUGGCGCAGGUACGGGAGAGGUGGUCCCUCUUCUGUUUGGAAAUGUGAAGCGCGUGUGUGUGUGCACGUGAACGUGGUGGACAAAGGCUACUUCCUCAUACUAUACAUGAAAGGGCCAUAGGAAGAUAAUCAAAAAGGAAAAGAAAGGAAAGAGAUCUUCAUGUAAACAGAGUCCCUCUUAUUGGCUGAAGUGAAGAGUCAUUCUGAGGCAUCUCAAGAUGAAGGUUUCCUAUUUGUGAUUAUGAAAAAAAUGUCAAGAACAAGUCCCUUGGUGUUCUUAGACCAAAGUCAGAACAACAGACCUAGUAAGUAUUCUCUCAGCAUUCAUUACAUGUUAGCAACCUUCAAAGCAGUUUGUGUUCCCUCAUAUGGUCCUCCAUGAGGUAAGUAUCAGAGCUAUAGUAAGAUCUAUUUAACAGUGAGACCCAAAUGUGUCCCAAGACCACUCAGGAUUGCCCUGGUAACCCUGAAGCUCGAAAAUCCCUGAGAUCAAGACUGAAGGAGUCUGUGUUGUUCCUCCCGCAUGCUUCUUCCUUGCAUGUCCCUUUUUCUUCCCUUUCUGUAUCCUUUCUUCCCCAU